UACGAAGGUGGCAAGCGUUACUCGGAAUUACUAGGCGUAAAGGGCAGGUAGGUGGUCUGAUAAGUCUGUUGUGAAAGCUCCCGGCUUAACUGGGAGAGGUCAACAGAAACUAUCAGGCUUGAGUAUAGGAGAGGGUACUGGAAUUCCCGGUGUAGCGGUGAAAUGCGCAGAUAUCGGGAGGAACACCAAUGGCGAAAGCAGGUACCUGGACUAUUACUGACACUCAGCUGCGAAAGCUAGGGGAGCAAACAGGG
rnacentral:rRNA from 1 species